rnacentral:tRNA from 22 species
CGAAAUCGGUAGACGCUACGGACUUAAAAUCCGUCGACUUUCGAGAUCGUGAGGGUUCAAAUCCCUCUAUCCCCA